UUCUGACGCUAGAGGAGGCCAUUUUCACAGGGGGAGAGAGAGAGAGAGAGAGAGAGAGAGAGCAGAGAAUCGGGGAGAAAAGCAUCGCGCUCUCUUUCAAGAAAACGAGGAAAUUGGGAUUCUUCUUGGCACCGGUAGCCUCUCACGUCUCUCUAGCUCCACAGCCAGCCGCCAGCUCCGCUGGUAGCCACCGCCGCUGGUCUUCCAUCUCCGAUCAUGGAAGACGCACGAAGCUCGAACUUGAAAUCCCCUGGAUUUCUUCCCCGCCCGAGUUACAUUUCCGUCGAUUCGAGUGUUCAGACGUCUCCGCCUGCUCGCGGCGGCCUGACCUUUGCUCGAACUAAAUCAACCUCCGAUUGCCGUGGAAAACAACAUCAGAGAGUCGCGCAAGUAGGCCGGGUGGAUUCAUCGGUGCAAAUGCUUCUUCGAGACGGGAGACAGAAGCUCGAGGACUAGGAUUAAGGGUUCUGUCAUCUGUAGGCGAAGAGGCUCGCGUCCUUAAGUUCGACAAUUAACUCCGGCUCCAUUUCAAUCUCUGUGACAUACACUGCAUGUUAAACAUGGAGAGAGGAGAAAAGAGAAAUCUUCAUAGACGGCCAGUUUCUUAGGACGUUCAGGCAACGACGGAAUUCGUCAUUCUAUAGUCGCUCUUAUCAGGUCGUCUCUUUCCCGAUUAAACUCAUGUAUUAGAUUUCGAAUUCAUUUUCAAAUUCACCUCUUCACCUAUGCUCUGCUUUGUUGUCUUCUCAUUGCCGCAAACGAGACUCGCUAUUCGUCGGUCCGAAAGGUUGUCGGUGCUAAUUGUUUUGAGGGUAGCGGUUUGAGUUCAAUUUGGCGGUGUCGAAGUAUGGGAGGUGCCAUGCGUUAGACGAUGCACAGAAGGCGUUCGGUGAAAUUAUCCAAGAGAAACAGCAGUAAUGUCGCCUCGCAGAAUUCGAUUAUGCUCAGCCAAUAACCGUAGGAAUGCGCUUAUCUCAGUUAGAGGGGUUCCGAUUCCAACCGGGAUUGAACCCCGGACCUAGUACUCUCCGACCACACCCCUAAUCCCUUUAUCAACAAGGUCGCAUGCCUAUUGGCGCCGAAGGGAAUCUCUGCGACAGGUACCAGACAGGCAAAGGGGCGAGCAAUCCAAUGAGGAAGACCAGUUCAUCUAGGAAUAGAACCCGAAUUUUCCAAACAUCCUGAGGGGGCUGACGACUCUCUAUAUGAUUGAGGCGCUGUAGAAAACAUUGUCACCGGGGCAUGUUCAUGGGCUUCCAUCUGGUAGCAGGGCUGGGUCACAUAUGCAGUUAGAUGCUGGUGACUAGCCAUCACGCUGUGGCGAAAUAGUUGGCUCAAAUCAAGGAUUGUCCCAACCAAUUGUGCAAUCGGGAAGUUCACAAUGUUAUGAGUAGGCCCAAAGUGAGAAACGAUAGGAGUUUGAAAGGCCUCAAUUCUCCGGGAUGUGUAAUUUACCUGAACGAGGAAUUAAAUAUUGUUCGAUUUGCUUCUCUGUUAUGGAAAAACAUCAUCGAUGUGGUUGGUCGAUUGUUUGCCAUCCCCUUCAUAAUAGUGCUUCGGAAUCACAA